UGGUGAAUAUUGGACAAUGGGGGAAACCCUGAUCCAGCAAUGCCGCGUGAGUGAUGAAGGCCUUCGGGUUGUAAAGCUCUUUUAUCAGGGAAGAUGAUGACGGUACCUGAUGAAUAAGCUCCGGCUAACUUCGUGCCAGCAGCCGCGGUAAUACGAAGGGAGCUAGCGUUGUUCGGAAUUACUGGGCGUAAAGGGCGCGUAGGCGGUACUAUAAGUUAGAUGUGAAAGCCCCGGGCUUAACCUGGGAACUGCAUUUAAUACUGUAGAACUAGAGGACGAGAGAGGAAAGUGGAAUUAUGAGUGUAGAGGUGAAAUUCGUAGAUAUUCAUAAGAACACCAGUGGCGAAGGCGACUUUCUGGCUCGUAUCUGACGCUAAGGCGCGAAAGCGUGGGGAGCAAACA
rnacentral:rRNA from 1 species